UACGUAGGGGGCUAGCGUUGUCCGGAUUUAUUGGGCGUAAAGAGCGUGUAGGCGGCCAGGUAGGUCUGCUGUGAAAACUCGAGGCUUAACCUCGAGAUGUCGGCGGAAACCAGCUGGCUAGAGUCCGGAAGAGGAGAGUGGAAUUCCUGGUGUAGCGGUGAAAUGCGUAGAUAUCGGAAGGAACAUCAGUGGCGAAAGCGACUUCCUGGACCAGUACCGACGUUCAGGCACGAAAGCGUGGGGAGCAAACAGG
rnacentral:rRNA from 1 species